GAUGAACGCUGGCGGCGUGCCUAAUACAUGCCAGUCGAGCGAACAGAUGAGGAGCUUGCUCCUCUGACGUUAGCGGCGGACGGGUGAGUAACACGUGGAUAACCUACCUAUAAGACUGGGAUAACUUCGGGAAACCGGAGCUAAUACCGGAUAAUAUAUUGAACCGCAUGGUUCAAUAGUGAAAGACGGUUUUGCUGUCACUUAUAGAUGGAUCCGCGCCGCAUUAGCUAGUUGGUAAGGUAACGGCUUACCAAGGCAACGAUGCGUAGCCGACCUGAGAGGGGGAUCGGCCACACUGGAACUGAGACACGGUCCAGACUCCUACGGGAGGCAGCAGUAGGGAAUCUUCGGCAAUGGGCGAAAGCCUGACGGAGCAACGCCGCGUGAGUGAUGAAGGUCUUCGGAUCGUAAAACUCUGUUAUUAGGGAAGAACAAAUGUGUAAGUAACUAUGCACGUCUUGACGGUACCUAAUCAGAAAGCCACGGCUAACUACGUG
rnacentral:rRNA from 1 species